rnacentral:rRNA from 1 species
GAUGAACGCUGGCGGCGUGCCUAAUACAUGCAAGUCGAGCGGACAGACGAGGAGCUUGCUCCUCUGACGUUAGCGGCGGACGGGUGAGUAACACGUGGAUAACCUACCCAUAAGACUGGGAUAACUUCGGGAAACCGGAGCUAAUACCGGAUAAUAUAUUGAACCGCAUGGUUCAAUAGUGAAAGACGGUUUUGCUGUCACUUAUAGAUGGAUCCGCGCCGCAUUAGCUAGUUGGUAAGGUAACGGCUUACCAAGGCAACGAUGCGUAGCCGACCUGAGAGGGUGAUCGGCCACACUGGAACUGAGACACGGUCCAGACUCCUACGGGAGGCAGCAGUAGGGAAUCUUCCGCAAUGGGCGAAAGCCUGACGGAGCAACGCCGCGUGAGUGAUGAAGGUCUUCGGAUCGUAAAACUCUGUUAUUAGGGAAGAACAAAUGUGUAAGUAACUAUGCACGUCUUGACGGUACCUAAUCAGAAAGCCACGGCUAACUACGUGCCAGCAGCCGCGGUAAUA